CGCGGGGCGGGGUUGAGCGUAGCGGUUACUCGGGGCGGGCAGUUCAAAUAGGAGGAGGGUAAGGCAGCGGCCCAAGCGAAGCUGGCGUGGGGGUUGCCAUAGCCCGCAUCCCAGGGGACGAGGCCGAGGCUCGUCCCCGGCGCCUCCAGCAGCGGCUGCCCGGCUCCUCUCCCACCUGUGCCCCUCGGCGCCCCGCCCGGCUCCGCGGCUUCCAGGCGGGCGGCGCGGAGACCCCAGACGAGUACCCGCUAGCGGGUCUCCAGGCGGCCCUGGCCGCAGCACCGGCCCCGCGUCCCCCUGUGCCUUCCAGGUGCUGGGCCUAGGGAGGCGCACGGCAGCCCUCACUCCUCCGCUCCAGGUGACGUCCGUCCGCCCCCUGCCACCUCUGGCUUUCUGGGCCGAGCGGAUCUUUGACGCCCUGGUGAGACCGUUACCCACCCGCCCGCCAUAGCCCUUCCGGGGAGUCAGUGCCGGGCUGCAGCACACAUUGCCUUUUCAGGGACCCGAAUUUGGGGAGUUUACUCAGGUCCAAGUCCAGCUAGAGAAAACAGGGAUAUUAAGAGAACUAUUUUCUGGAGGGCUGAAGGAAAUUCAAAAUGUUAUAGACUUUCUCAAGUGUUAGAAAUAAUCCGGCAUGCAUCCUGUGUCUCCUUCGACUUUGAGCAAUUAUCGUGCUGCUGCACCUUCCAAUUAAUUGUUCGAACCGAAGUUUUUCUCAUUAAGUGACAUUACUUUGGCAUGAAUUUUAAAGGCAAAAAUGAGAGAAUUUCUUGUUUGGAGGCCUACGUAACUUUGACGUCCAAGAGAUCCAGAUUUACUGAUGAAACAGAGGUUUUGAAGAUGGCACAAAGGCACUCAGGUCAAGCUAGCACUGAAGCAGGAAAUGGGGUGGACUGUCCUCCAAUUGUCACCUCCAAGUACUCUACCUUCAGAGAUUGUUCCACAUCUUCACUUCAAGAUAGUGGCUACAGUGAGUUAAAAUCUUGUACCUUUGAUAAUACAGACAGAGACUAUCUUGGAAAAAAAGAAAAAGGCCCAACAUUACUCCAUGAGCACCCUGAAGCUUCAAGCCUGGACUUAACACAUCCUUUAGAGUCUCCCACUCAAAAAAAGAAAUUUAUCUUGCUUAGAAAGGAAAAGGAUAAAACCCCAGAACUUUGUGAAACACCUAAAAUCAGUGAUAAAAAAUGUUUACCUCGUAGAAGGUUGAAUCUAUCUUUCUCUCUUCUAAAGGGGGACUUUGAAUCACAAAAUAGUUCUCUAGAAAGUAGUAUAAGCCAAGUUCUCAACUUAGAAAAAAAUAUCCCAAGCAGUGCUGCAGGUUUGUCCAGGCCAAAUAAUUUUAGCCCUCUAGUUACUAGCACUUUAAAAACAGAAGAAGUGACUUCGAGCAGUCAAAAAUUGAGGCUUAAUUUUUCUCAGCAAAAGACUUCCACAAUUGAUGAUUCCAAAGAUGACUGUAACCUAUUUGAAGUUGAAUGUAUAUCUCCAAUUCAAGGCAAUAAUUUUAAAGACUCUAUCACACAUGACUUUAGUGAUAGCAGUUUAUGCAUUAAUGAUGAGAAUACAUGUCCAGAGCCCCUGGCUUCCUCUGUUAGUGGAACAACUUGUGGAACAGAUGAGGACAUAUUUGUGACUCCAAUAAGUAAUCUUGUGUCAAACAUUAGAUUUAAUGCAAUUCAAAUACUUUCUCCCUCACCUGAAGUGAAGGGCAAUAUUUCAACGCCUGAAGACAGUGGUUUUAACUCACUUAGCUUGGAGAAAUCAGAAGAUUCUCUCUCUGACCAGGAGGGUUCUUUUCAAGAACUAUUCCAGAAACAUAAGGGGACUCCCAAAGUGGGGGACACCAUAAGAAAGAUAAGACAUCUUAGAAGGUCAAGAAGACUGUCCACCCUUCGGGAGCAAGGCUCACAGUCAGAGACAGAAGAGGAAAAGCAGAUUGUCCACCCUGACUCUGAAAAAAGAGCAGCAGCUGCUUCUGCUAUCUCAGAGGCUCAGCUGAACAGUGAUGAGAGUAGGGAUUCAACCUUUAGCUUAAAGAAUUUAUCAAAGACCCCAGCCUUGCAAUUGGUGCAUGAGCUCUUCAUGAAAAGCAAAAGGAAAAGAUGCCAGCAAACUAGUGGACAUGAAUUCUUAGAGGAAGGGGAUGGGGAGAAAAUAGCUGUACUACAGUGUAUACUUGCAGGACUGAUUGGCAAGAAGAUGGGUAUAGAAAAACUGGACAUCUUAACAGAAUUGAAAUAUAGAAAUUUAAAGCAUAUUCUUGCUAUGGUUUUAGAUUCCUUGACUGCAGAGAGCCUAUGCAGUGUUUGGAAAGUAAGCAGAAAUUGGCGUGAAAUUGUUGUUCAAGAUAAAAAUGCAAAUCGGAGGAGGAAAUUUUAUAUCACGCAACUGAAAACAGAUUCUGAGUGUUUCUCUAUACAGAUCCCUGAUUCAUCUCCCAUUAUCCACCAGAACUGAAAGUCUCCUCUGUGUAAGUCCAAACAAAUCAGGUAUUCUACCUGUUCCUUCUUUUCCUCAGAGACAUCCUUCCUGGGGCCCUUUGCUGUCCUAUUCCAACAUGGACUGGUUGCUUUCUACUUGAACUAUUCUAAUGUAUUAUUUACCAAAACAAAAACAAUUUUAAAAGAAAAAAACUGUUUGAUGGUUUUCUCCACUCUUUUGUUCACUUCUUGUCUACAGCUGCUUUUUCUACAACCACAGAGUUGAGUAGCUGCAACUACAUGGCCCACAAUGUCUAGACUAUACAUUAUAUUAUCUGGUCCUUUACAGGAAAGGUUUGCUGAACCAAGUUUAAAAUAAAUGGAAAAAUAACCAGUCAUAGAAACUUAGAUGUAGAAUUUAAUUUUAACAUUUUUCUUUUUAUGUUUAUUUAACGUUCGUAUGUUAGGUGAGAAAAGGUCUUUUUUUUUUUUUUUUUUUUCCCUAAAAAGGAAUGGUUUAGGGGAGAAUUCUGAUGGUAAAAAACGUCUUCAAAGCAUAUAAAUCCACGUGCAACAGAAAGCUAUCCUGGAACUGUUUUGGUAUUGCAGUAUUGAUGCCUCUUGUCCUUUACUACAGGGGGCUGUAUUAAAUGUCGAGGAUGCUGCCACUCGGCUCCAGCUUUUAAAUCGCUCAGCUUUAAGAUCUGUGCAGGCACAGGCUAGGAUACCUGGUUCUCAGAGAGAGCAAGGGUCAACAUUAUCUCCCUGGGGAGAAGUUUUGACACCUCUAGCAAGCUCUUCUGUUACUCACUUAAGUAGUAAACAGGAAGAAUAUGUUAAGGUUGCCAAAACACUUUUUAUUGAUGAAGCAUUAAAACCUUGUCCAAGGUGCCAAUCCCCUGCUAAGUACCAGCCAUAUAA